rnacentral:lncRNA from 13 species
UUUUUAAGAUUAAAUGUUACAUAUUUUAUUGAAACUUUUUUAAAUUAAAUACAUCCACUUGGAUUAGAAGAAAAAGAUUGUGCAAUGGAUAUACAAGUUUCUCCUUGAAAAUGAUUGGUAAAAGACAAAGUUAAUUAGCAACGCAUGCAAUUCUUAGCAGAUUAAUUGCAAAUGUACUUGCCACAAAAUAUAGCUGGCAUGGAAUAAAUGGAAAAAGAUCUUCGCUCAACUUUUGAUAACAAAAUUGAUUAUAAGUAAAUAUUUUAGCAAUAAUAAUUUAAACAUUUUAUUACCCAUUAAAUAGAAAGUUGUAAAAAAGACAUUGUCUUUAAACUUUUUUUUGCUUUACAAACUGUAUGUAAAAUUUGGUUUAAGUGUAUUGAGGCACAAAUAGUAGAAACUGCUUCAACAUACUUGCUUAAGCAGCAUGUGAAAUGUGUUCGGGUUAGGAAGAUCCAAAAACUAGAACAAAGGGAAAUUGUUUUUGAUUAGUCUAACUUCUAAAUGAAAAUAACUAAUAUUUGACAAAAAAAUAGAUGUGAAAUAUCUGAUUAUGUUAUGUUAUUGAAAAAUUCGAAAUUUUAAAAAAUCAGUGUUUUUAUAUCAUUCUUUUAUUAUUUAUGAAACAUUUAUUUUCUAGGACGGCUUGAAGUAUCCUAUUUUUGUAAUGACUUUACCGUAGCAGCUAUUAAAAUCUACAUUUUAUUUAAAUAUAUGUACAUAAAUAAUUUAUGUGAAAGAGUAAAACAGCCGCGCGCUACAGAGCUUUUGAUAUUAUAUACAUUUACACUAUACAUAUUAUAUACAAUUACAAAAAAAA